rnacentral:tRNA from 1 species
GCUAGAGUAGCACAGUGGUAGUGCAGCUGAUUCGUAAUCAGCAGGUCGUGAGUUCAAUCCUCAUCUCUAGCUCCA